GUAGGACAGACGAUCGCGGCUGCAUACGCCGAAAGGCGGCAGGUGAGGAAAGUCCGGGCUUCACAGGGCAGGAUGCCGGAUAACGUCCGGUGAAGGUGACUUCAAGGAUAGUGCAACAGAAAUAAACCGCCAGGCAACUGGUAAGGGUGGAAAGGCAGUGUAAGGGACUACCGCCCUGCCGGUAACGGCAGGGGCACAUGUAAACCCCAUCCGAAGCAAGACCGAAACGAAAGCAACAGGUUUGCCCGACCUGCUUUCAGGUGGGUCGCUGGAGGCUGUCGGCAACGACAGUCCUAGAUAGAUGAUCGU
rnacentral:RNase_P_RNA from 1 species